AUUGAACGCUAGCGGGAUGCCUUACACAUGCAAGUCGAACGGCAGCGCGGACUUCGGUCUGGCGGCGAGUGGCGAACGGGUGAGUAAUGUAUCGGAACGUGCCCAGUGGCGGGGGAUAACUACUCGAAAGAGUAGCUAAUACCGCAUACGCCCUACGGGGGAAAGGGGGGGAUCGCAAGACCUCUCACUAUUGGAGCGGCCGAUAUCGGAUUAGCUAGUUGGUGAGGUAAAGGCUCACCAAGGCGACGAUCCGUAGCUGGUUUGAGAGGACGACCAGCCACACUGGGACGGAGACACGGCCCAGACUCCUACGGGAGGCAGCAGUGGGGAAUUUUGGAAAAUGGGGGCAACCCUGAUCCAGCCAUUCCGCGUGUGCGAUGAAGGCCUUCGGGUUGUAAAGCACUUUUGGCAGGAAAGAAAUCGCACGGAUUAAUACUCUGUGUGGAUGACGGUACCGGAAUAAGAAGCACCGGCUAACUACGUGCCAGCAGCCGCCGUAA
rnacentral:rRNA from 1 species